rnacentral:rRNA from 1 species
CCUACGGGGUGCAGCAGUGGGGAAUAUUGGGCAAUGGGCGCAAGCCUGACCCAGCAACGCCGCGUGAAGGAAGAAGGCUUUCGGGUUGUUAACUUCUUUUCUCAGGGACGAAGAAAGUGACGGUACCUGAGGAAUAAGCCACGGCUAACUACGUGCCAGCAGCCACGGUAAUACGUAGGUGGCAAGCGUUAUCCGGAUUUCCUGGGUGUAAAGGGUGUGUAGGCGGGACUGCAAGUCAGAUGUGAAAACCACGGGCUCAACCUGUGGCCUGCAUUUGACACUGUAGUUCUUGAGUACUGGAGAGGGAGACGGAAUUCCUGGUGUAGCGGUGAAAUGCGUAGAGAUUAGGAGGAACACCAGUGGCGAAGGCAGUCUGCUGGACAGCAACUGACGCUGAGGCGCGAAAGCGUGGGGAGCAAACAGGAUUAGAUACCCGAGUAGUC